GGGGUCAUAGCUCAGCUGGGAGAGCGCCUCGUUCGCAACGAGGAGGCCGGGGGUUCGAGUCCCCCUGACUCCACCA
rnacentral:tRNA from 1 species